AGUCAGCAGUAAAUACUUUUAUAUUUAAAGAGACUGAAAUGCUGUUGUAAACAAGGAAGUUAUUUUUACUUUCAAUAAUACCUUGUAAGAAGCAGCCAACAAAUGCACUGAACUGCACUGUCAUAAGAAAUCACUCUGAACAGAUGAAAGGAUAUUAUGACAAAUAUAUUGCUUUCCACAGUGGACAUUCAAACUAAUGUUUUAUGCUGAACAUGAGGUUGAGCUAAAGCAUGAUUGCUGUAUCAGAUGCAGAUAAGCUGAAUCACAGCCCUUGAAGUUUGAAGCAGUUUUAAGUUUGAAGUGGAUUUAAAAUUUCAACGUUUAAAGCAAUUUUAAGUUGAAAGUAAUUUUAAAAGCUAAAAGUUCGAAGCUUUUAAGUCUCUCAGAAAGAUACAAACCCCAAUUUGACAUAAUGUAAUAUUAUUAAUAACAAAUAGAACAAAAUUAAGCAGUCUAAAGUUUGAAGUAGCUUUUAAAGUUCAAUCUAAAAGCUAAAAAAAAAAGAUAUUGAGCUUUUCCAUUCCACUGCUCACUUGCAUUUUAAGUUCAAAACACGUUUAAUCUGAAUGGUCCCUAAGUCUGAUUUAGGUUUUAUUUUUAUUUUUUUGGUAACACUUGUCCAAUUCUCGCCAUUAACAAACUUUUCUGACACUUAUAUCUCUGUAUAAUGUUUAUUUUAAUAGUUGAAAUAAUUUAUGUAUGUAUGCACGAAUGUGUUUGAGCUCACCAAGAAAUUCCUGACAACUGUGUUGUUUGGCAAUAAAUAAAUAAAAAUUAUGUUUAUUAAUAGUUAGUAAGGUAGUUGUUAAGUUUGAUAAUUAGGUAUGCAGAAUGUGUGCUUUAUAAGUACUAAUAAACAGCCAAAUUGUUAAUAAUAGGCAUGCUAAUAAGCAACUAGUUAAUAGUGAGAAUUGGUCCUUACGCUAAAGUGUUACCAGGAUAAGUUCAGGAAGUAACAUCUAGCGCUUGACCUUAGUUAACCUUUACUUACCAACACCCAGGGAAAAACUUUGUAUGUCUGUGGGGGCAUCCAUGUUUGUUCUGAAAACUGACUUGAAUGGCAGGGGGUUCAUGUAUAUGUGUUUGUAUUUUUUGCAAAAGCACGCUGUGCUCUCCACUGUUCUGGAAUUGCUUCCAUUUGAAAACGUUUCAUUAGCUGUGCAUAUCGGGGGGACUUUAAUUUGACUUCCUGUUUCAGUCCUUCUUUAAUCCUGGGCCUUUCUAAUAAUUGCCUGAUGGCGAAUAACUUCCCCUGAAACUCAGGACUAAUCAGGCAUGUCACUGCGCAGUUAAAUUUGCUUUCAAUCCAUUCGUAAUAGGCAGGAUAUUAGCAAUGUCAGACAAUCAAGGCUUCACGCGAGCCAGGUCGGAAUUAAUGGUUCUGCUUUAUUUGCUGCUUAC